UAGCUCACCUCGACGAAGUCGAGAUGAGCUUAUGCUAUACCCCCGGCGUCGGCGUCGGUGUCGGCGUCGGCGUUAGCGUCGGCGUCCCAGGUUAAAGUUUUAGGAGCAAGUCCCAUUCCCAAGUAACUAUAAGCCCUACUUGGACCAAACUUGCAUGGAUGAUGCAUCUAGGGAUGGACACUACCACACUUGCUUCGGAUGCUGGAUCUGACCUAGAUUUUCCAGAUGAGUGACCAGGUUAAAGUUUUAGGAGCAGGUCCAUUCCCAAGUAACUAUAAGCCCUACCUGGACCAAACUUGCAUGGAUGAUGCAUCUAGGGAUGGACACUACCACACUUGCUUCGGAUGCUGGAUCUGAUGAGCAGGUCCAUUCCCAAGUAACUAUAAGCCCUACCUUGACCAAACUUGCAUGGAUGAUGCAUUUAGGGAUGGACACUACCACACUUGCUUCAGAUGCUGGAUCUGACCUAGAUUUUCCGGAUGAGUGACCAGGUUAAAGUUUUAGGAGCAGGUCCAUUCCAAAGUAAAUAUAAGCCCUACCCGGACCAAACUUGCAUGGAUGAUGCAUCUAGGGAUGGACACUACCACACUUGCUUCGGAUGCUGGAUCUGAUGAGCAGGUCCAUUCCCAAGUAACUAUAAGCCCUACCUUGACCAAACUUGCAUGGAUGAUGCAUCUAGGGAUGGACACUACCACACUUGCUUCGGAUGCUGGAUCUGACCUAGAUUUUCCACAUGUGAGACCAGGUUUAGAUUUAGGAGUAGUCUCGUUCCCAAGUAACUAUAAGCCCUACCUGGACCAAACUUUCAUGGAUGAUGCAUCUAGGGAUGGACACUACCACACUUGCUUCGGAUGCUGGAUCUGAUGAGCAGGUCCAUUCCCAAGUAACUAUAAGCCCUACCUUGACCAAACUUGCAUGGUUGAUGCAUCUAGGGAUGGACACUACCACACUUGCUUCGGAUGCUGGAUCUGACCUAGAUUUUCCGGAUGAGUGACCAGGUUAAAGUUUUAGGAGCAGGUCCAUUCCAAAGUAAAUAUAAGCCCUACCCGGACCAAACUUGCAUGGAUGAUGCAUCUAGGGAUGGACACUACCACACUUGCUUCGGAUGCUGGAUCUGACCUAGAUUUUCCACAUGUGAGACCAGGUUUAGAUUUAGGAGUAGUCUCGUUCCCAAGUAACUAUAAGCCCUACCUGGACCAAACUUUCAUGGAUGAUGCAUCUAGGGAUGUACACUAACCAACCUGCUUCGAAUGCUGGAUCUGACCUAGAUUUUCCACAUGAGUGAAUUUUAGCCAUAUUUUAACCAAAUCAGCAUGGAUGAUGUAUCUAGGGAUGGAUACUUCCAGACUUGCCUUGGAUUCUGAAUCUGACGUACAUUUUCAAGAUGAGUGACCAGGGUAAUUUUUUGGAGUAGCUAUAUAAUAUUAUGGCCUGUUAUGAUUAAACUUGCAUAGAUGGUGCAUCUAAGGAUGAAAACUUCCAGACUUGCUUUGGAUGUUGGAACUGACCAAAAUUUUCUUGAUUACUAAACAGGUCAAAAGUUUUUUGAGCAGAUCUAUAAU